UGGGGAAUAUUGGACACUGGGCGAAAGCCUGAUCCAGCCAUGCCGCGUGUGUGAAGAAGGUCUUCGGAUUGUAAAGCACUUUAAGUUGGGAGGAAGGGCAGUAAGCGAAUACCUUGCUGUUUUGACGUUACCGACAGAAUAAGCACCGGCUAACUCUGUGCCAGCAGCCGCGGUAAUACAGAGGGUGCGAGCGUUAAUCGGAUUUACUGGGCGUAAAGCGUGCGUAGGCGGCUAAUUGAGUCGGAUGUGAAAUCCCCGAGCUUAACUUGGGAAUUGCAUUCGAUACUGGUUAGCUAGAGUGUGGGAGAGGAUGGUAGAAUUCCAGGUGUAGCGGUGAAAUGCGUAGAGAUCUGGAGGAAUACCGAUGGCGAAGGCAGCCAUCUGGCCUAACACUGACGCUGAGGUACGAAAGCAUGGGGAGCAAACAGG
rnacentral:rRNA from 1 species